CAGUUUUUUCAGACAAGCUGGAAAUACCACCAUUAAUCACUGAAGAUACUCCCGCUGAUUUUGAAGAACUUACGGUGAUUGUUUUUGAAAGUGAGGCGCUUUGCCACAACAUGUUGCAAAGACUUGAAACAAAUACAAAAAAUAUGUGCGAAACAAAAGAAAUUCUAAAGGAAACGAGUGAACAAAUCUCCAAUAUGAAAACGUCAUCAAAUGUGACAAAUCAAAAAGAAAACAGUAAUAGAAGAUAUGCCGCCAAGACCACAGGAACUGCUAUUGUCCCAGAUAGGUGGUAAUGGGAAAAAGAACAAUGUGGAGCGUAUAUUAAAAAAAAAAAAUUCAGCGAAUUUGCUGUAGCUUGUUUGUUCGGUAGGUAAAUUCCAAAAUGGUUGGGAC